rnacentral:lncRNA from 1 species
CUCAGGCUCCAAGAGGGAGUGUUUUGUCAGGGAGGAAAAACUUGUCCUCUUAGGAGCCGCAAAUUCAACAGGACAAAAAGGUCCAUAUGCACAAGAGCCAAGAAAAGAAGCAGCUGACUGGUUAAAUGAUUCAAGUCUAAUUUCCAGGGCCCCCCUGAAGAACCUAGGAGGAUAGAGGAAAAACCUUUUGUUCCUCCCCUAAAGGGGACACAAUUCAACCAGCAACAGAAAUAUUCUCUAUGUUGAUAGUGGUGGUGGUUACAUGGCUGUAGGUAUCAGAUAAAUCUCAUCAAACUGUACAGGUAAAAAGAAACAUAACUCCUGGAGUCUCUGUUUUUCUACAUCAACUAGUAAUGGCUGUCCCUUAGGCUUCCCACCCAUCGUCAUUACUGGAAUUGCCUUCUUUCUCCUGUGUUAGACUGACUGUAUUCUGAAAGCCAAUUUUCCUCUUUUUUGGAUUCCUC